rnacentral:rRNA from 1 species
GAUGAACGCUGACAGAAUGCUUAACACAUGCAAGUCAACUUGAAUUUGGGUUUUUAACUUCGGUUUGGGUGGCGGACGGGUGAGUAACGCGUAAAGAACUUGCCUCACAGCUAGGGACAACAUUUGGAAACGAAUGCUAAUACCUAAUAUUAUGAUAAUAGGGCAUCCUAUAAUUAUGAAAGCUAUAAGCGCUGUGAGAGAGCUUUGCGUCCCAUUAGCUAGUUGGAGAGGUAACGGCUCACCAAGGCGAUGAUGGGUAGCCGGCCUGAGAGGGUGAUCGGCCACAAGGGGACUGAGACACGGCCCUUACUCCUACGGGAGGCAGCAGUGGGGAAUAUUGGACAAUGGACCAAGAGUCUGAUCCAGCAAUUCUGUGUGCACGAUGAAGUUUUUCGGAAUGUAAAGUGCUUUCAGUUGAGAAGAAAGAAAUGACGGUACCAACAGAAGAAGUGACGGCUAAAUACGUG